CAUCAUCAUCAUCAUCGUCAUCAUCAUCGUCAUCAUCAUCGUCAUCAUAAUCAUCGCCAUCAUCGGCGAGACGCAGAGAUAAGAUGGUUUAUGGACAUUU
rnacentral:miRNA from 1 species